rnacentral:rRNA from 1 species
GACGAACGCUGGCGGCGUGCUUAACACAUGCAAGUCGAACGGAAAGGCCCUGCUUUUGUGGGGUGCUCGAGUGGCGAACGGGUGAGUAACACGUGAGUAACCUGCCCUUGACUGUGUGAUAACUUCAGGAAACUGGGGCUAAUACCGGAUAGGAUCUCUCGCUGCAUGGGGGUGGUUGGAAAGUUUCGGCGGUGGGGGCUGGACUCGCGGGUCAUCGGCUUGUUGGGGGGGUAGUGGCGUCCCAAGCCUUUGACGGGUACCCCACGUGAGAGGGUGGACGGCGUCAAUGGGACUGCGGUACGCCCCAGAAUCCUACCGGCCGCAGCGGUCGAGAACAUUGCACAGUGAGCCCACGUCUGAUGCAGAAGCCCCGCGUGCGGGAUGACGGCUUUUGGGUUGUAAACCGCUUUCGCACGAGACGAACAGUGAGUGACGGUAAUGGGUAAGAAAGCACCGGCUAACUACGUG